UAAGACAGAGGGUGCAAGCGUUAUCCGGAAUGAUUGGGCGUAAAGCGUCUGUAGGUUGUUUGAGAAGUCUACUGUCAAAUCCCAGAGCUCAACUUUGGACAGGCAGUGGAGUACUCUUAGACUAGAGUACGGUAGGGGUAGAGGGAAUUCCCGGUGGAGCGGUGAAAUGCACAGAGAUCGGGAAGAACACCAGUGGCGAAAGCGCUCUACUAGGCCGUGACUGACACUGAGAGACGAUAGCUAGGGGAGCGAAUGGGAUUAGAUACCCCAGUAGUCCUAGCCGUAAACGAUGGAUACUAAGUGCUGUCGAAAACAGUGCUGUAGCUAACGCGUUAAGUAUCCCGCCUGGGGAGUAUGCUGGCAACAGUG
rnacentral:rRNA from 1 species